rnacentral:rRNA from 1 species
UUGGUUAUGCUAAUAAGAGCGUAUGGUGGAUGCCUUGGCACUAAGAGCCGAUGAAAGACGUGAUAAGCUGCGAAAAGCUUCGGGGAGGAGCAAAUAUCCAUUGAUCCGGAGAUUUCUGAAUGGGGAAACCUACUUGAGAAAACCUCAAGUAUCCACAGCCCAAUCCAUAAGCUGUGGAAGGGAACCCGGUGAACUGAAACAUCUAAGUAGCCGGAGGAAGAGAAAACAACAUGUGAUUCCGUAAGUAGCGGCGAGCGAACGCGGAAGAGCCCAAACCGGAGUGCGUGCACUCCGGGGUUCGGACUGCAGAAUUGACGAGUGAGCCUAGUAGNNNNNNNNNNGAGUGAGCCUAGUAGAAUGGUUUUGGGAAAGCCAGCCAGAGAGGGUGAAAGCCCCGUACACGAAAGGCAAGCAAGCAUGGCAGGAUCCAGAGUACCACGAGACACGUGAAACCUUGUGGGAAUGCGCGGGGACCACCCCGUAAGGCUAAAUACUCCUUAGUGACCGAUAGCGCAUAGUACUGUGAAGGAAAGGUGAAAAGGACCCCGGGAGGGGAGUGAAAGAGAACCUGAAACCAUAUGUUUACAAGCUGUGGAACAUCUUUAUAUGAUGAACCGCGUACUUUUUGUAGAACGGUCCGGCGAGUUACGCUGGCUGGCGAGGUUAAGGGCUGAAGGCCUGGAGCCGAAGGGAAACCAAGUCUGAACAGGGCGAAAUAGUCAGUCGGAGUAGACCCGAAACCGGGUGAUCUAUCCAUGUCCAGGUUGAAGUUGCCGUAAAAGGCAAUGGAGGACCGAACCCACAUCCGUUGAAAAGGGUGGGGAUGAGGUGUGGAUAGGGGAGAAAUUCCAAUCGAACCCGGAGAUAGCUGGUUCUCCUCGAAAUAGCUUUAGGGCUAGCCUCAUGCAAGUCUUACGGAGGUAGAGCACUGAAUUCCUAAGGGGGCGUCAAAGCUUACCAAGGGAUAUCAAACUCCGAAUGCCGUGUAGAUGGUGCAUGGGAGUCAGACUAUCCGAGAUAAGUUGGGUAGUCAAAAGGGAAAGAGCCCAGACCUACAGCUAAGGUCCCAAAAUGUGUGUUAAGUGGAAAAGGAUGUGGGAUUUCGAAGACAACUAGGAUGUUGGCUUAGAAGCAGCCAUCCAUUAAAAGAGUGCGUAAUAGCUCACUAGUCGAGAGGUCCUGCGCCGAAAAUGUCCGGGGCUGAAACACACUACCGAAGCUUAGGAAUUGAUGAAUGUCAAUUGGUAGAGGAGCAUUCUUAACGGGGCGAAGCUGUACCGGAAGGAGCAGUGGACUGUUAAGAAGAGAGAAUGCCGGAAUGAGUAGCGAGAGGAAGGUGAGAAUCCUUCCGGCCGAAUAUCUAAGGUUUCCAGAGUAAAGCUGAUCUGCUCUGGGUAAGUCGGGGCCUAAGGCGAGGUCGAAAGACGUAGUCGAUGGAUAACAGGUAAAGAUUCCUGUACUAUAUCAUAACAGAACUGUGGGGACGCAGACAGAGAGCAUAAGCCGGGAAUGGAAAAACCGGUACAAGCGAGGUAGGAGUGCAUCAGGCAAAUCCGGUGUACAAUCUGAAGACGUGAUGUGGGGCGUAAAGCCGGAAGUAUGUGAGCUGGCUGCCAAGAAAAGCCGCUAUUGUUUAUGAUAUACCCGUACCGUAAACCGACACAGGUGGAUGAGGAGAGAAUCCUAAGGCCGACGGGAGAAGCAUUGUUAAGGAACUCGGCAAAAUGACUCCGUAACUUCGGGAGAAGGAGUGCCAUGUAAAAGUGGCCGCAGAGAAUUGGCCCAAGCAACUGUUUAGCAAAAACACAGGUCUAUGCAAAACCGAAAGGUGAGGUAUAUGGGCUGACGCCUGCCCGGUGCUGGAAGGUUAAGGGGAGAGGUUAGCCGUAAGGCGAAGCUUUGAACUUAAGCCCCAGUAAACGGCGGCCGUAACUAUAACGGUCCUAAGGUAGCGAAAUUCCUUGUCGGGUAAGUUCCGACCCGCACGAAAGGCGUAAUGAUUUGGGCACUGUCUCAACAAUGCACCCGGUGAAAUUGAAAUACCAGUGAAGAUGCUGGUUACCUGCGCCAGGACGGAAAGACCCCAUGGAGCUUUACUCCAGCUUGAUACUGGGAUUCGAUAUUGCAUGUACAGGAUAGGUGGGAGACUUUGAACUCAUGACGCCAGUCGUGAGGGAGUCACUGUUGGGAUACCACCCUUGUAGUAUUGGAUUUCUAACCAGCAGCCGUGAACCGGCUGGGGGACAAUGUCAGGUGGGGAGUUUGACUGGGGCGGUCGCCUCCGAAAGGGUAUCGGAGGCGCUCAAAGGUUCCCUCAGAAUGGUUGGAAACCAUUCGAAGAGUGCAAAGGCAGAAGGGAGCUUGACUGCGACACCGACGGGUGGAGCAGGUACGAAAGUAGGACUUAGUGAUCCGGUGGUAUAAAGUGGGAUUGCCAUCGCUCAACGGAUAAAAGCUACCCUGGGGAUAACAGGCUUAUCACUCCCAAGAGUUCACAUCGACGGAGUGGUUUGGCACCUCGAUGUCGGCUCAUCGCAUCCUGGGGCUGAAGUAGGUCCCAAGGGUUGGGCUGUUCGCCCAUUAAAGCGGUACGCGAGCUGGGUUCAGAACGUCGUGAGACAGUUCGGUCCCUAUCCGGCGUGGGCGUAGGAUAUUUGAGAGGAGCUGCCCUUAGUACGAGAGGACCGGGGUGGACUGGCCGCUGGUGGAUCUGUUGUAUUACCAAAUGCAUGGCAGAGUAGCCAAGCCGGGACGGGAUAAACGCUGAAGGCAUCUAAGCGUGAAGCCCCCCUCAAGAUGAGAUAUCCCAUAACGUCAAGUUAGUAAGACCCCUUGAAGACGACGAGGUAGAUAGGGCAGAGGUGGAAGUGUGGUAACACAUGGAGCUGACUGUUACUAAUAGGUCGAGGGCAUAACCAAG